AUGGCUCGGAAGGAUCUCUCCCGUCGCCGGCGGGCCUGCGACGAUGACCGUCUCAGCGCGCUCCCUGACGACCUGCUCCUCCUAAUCCUGCGCCGUCUCGACAGCCGCACCGCACACGGCGCCGCGGCGCUCUCCAAGCGCUGGGCUCACCUCCCCCGGGAGAUCACCGCCCUGGAUCUCAAA
rnacentral:rRNA from 1 species